rnacentral:rRNA from 1 species
GAUGAACGCUGACAGAAUGCUUAACACAUGCAAGUCAACUUGAAUUUGGGUUUUUAACUUAGAUUUGGGUGGCGGACGGGUGAGCAACGCGUAAAGAACUUGCCUCACAGCUAGGGACAACAUUUAGAAAUGAAUGCUAAUACCUGAUAUUAUGAUUUUAAGGCAUCUUAGAAUUAUGAAAGCUAUAAGCACUGUGAGAGAGCUUUGCGUCCCAUUAGCUAGUUGGAGAGGUAACAGCUCACCAAGGCAAUGAUGGGUAGCCGGCCUGAGAGGGUGAACGGCCACAAGGGGACUGAGACACGGCCCUUACUCCUACGGGAGGCAGCAGUGGGGAAUAUUGGACAAUGGACCGAGAGUCUGAUCCAGCAAUUCUGUGUGCACGAUGAAGUUUUUCGGAAUGUAAAGUGCUUUCAGUUGGGAAGAAAAAAAUGACGGUACCAACAGAAGAAGUGACGGCUAAAUACGUGCCAGCAGCCGCGGUAAUACGUAUGUCACGAGCGUUAUCCGGAUUUAUUGGGCGUAAAGCGCGUCUAGGUGGUUAUGUAAGUCUGAUGUGAAAAUGCAGAGCUCAACUCUGUAUUGCGUUGGAAACUGUAUAACUAGAGUACUGGAGAGGUAAGCGGAACUACAAGUGUAGAGGUGAAAUUCGUAGAUAUUUGUAGGAAUGCCGAUGGGGAAGCCAGCUUACUGGACAGAUACUGACGCUAAAGCGCGAAAGCGUGGGUAGCAAACAGG